AUUGAACGCUGGCGGCAGGCCUAACACAUGCAAGUCGAACGAGUGGCGGACGGGUGAGUAAUGUCUGGGAAACUGCCUGAUGGAGGGGGAUAAAUACUGGAAACGGUAGCUAAUACCGCAUACCAUCAGAUGUGCCCAGAUGGGAUGAGCGUGUUGGUGGGGUAACGGCUCACCAAGGCGACGAUCCCUAGCUGGUCUGAGAGGAUGACAAGCCACACUGGAACUGAGAAAAGGCCCAGACUCCUACGAGAGGCAGCAGUGGGGAAUAUUGCACAAUGGGCGCAAGGCUGAUGCAACCAUGCCGCGUGUAUGAAGAAGGCCUGCGGGUUGUAAAGUACUUUCAGCGGGGAGGCGUUACCCGCAGAAGAAGCACCGGCUAACUCCGUGCCAGCAGCCGCGGUAAUAC
rnacentral:rRNA from 1 species